rnacentral:pre_miRNA from 1 species
UCUUCAUUUUACACACUCUCUUACCGGUCAGAGAGGAAAGAGAGAGAGUGUGUGAAAUGAAGAGA